CCUACGGGAGGCAGCAGUGGGGAAUUUUGGACAAUGGGCGAAAGCCUGAUCCAGCAAUGCCGCGUGAGUGAAGAAGGCCUUCGGGUUGUAAAGCUCUUUUGUCAGGGAAGAAACGGUGAGGGCUAAUAUCCCUUGCUAAUGACGGUACCUGAAGAAUAAGCACCGGCUAACUACGUGCCAGCAGCCGCGGUAAUACGUAGGGUGCAAGCGUUAAUCGGAAUUACUGGGCGUAAAGCGUGCGCAGGCGGUUUUGUAAGUCUGUCGUGAAAUCCCCGGGCUCAACCUGGGAAUUGCGAUGGAGACUGCAAGGCUAGAAUCUGGCAGAGGGGGGUAGAAUUCCACGUGUAGCAGUGAAAUGCGUAGAGAUGUGGAGGAGCACCGAUGGCGAAGGCAGCCCCCUGGGUCAAGAUUGACGCUCAUGCACGAAAGCGUGGGGAGCAAACAGGAUUAGAUACCCUGGUAGUCCACGCCCUAAACGAUGUCUACUAGUUGUCGGGUUUUAAUUAACUUGGUAACGCAGCUAACGCGUGAAGUAGACCGCCUGGGGAGUACGGUCGCAAGAUUAAAACUUAAGGAAUUGACGG
rnacentral:rRNA from 1 species